UGGGGAAUAUUGGACAAUGGGCGAAAGCCUGAUCCAGCCAUGCCGCGUGUGUGAAGAAGGCCUUUUGGUUGUAAAGCACUUUAAGUGGGGAGGAAAAGCUUAUGGUUAAUACCCAUAAGCCCUGACGUUACCCACAGAAUAAGCACCGGCUAACUCUGUGCCAGCAGCCGCGGUAAUACAGAGGGUGCAAGCGUUAAUCGGAAUUACUGGGCGUAAAGCGCGCGUAGGUGGUUAUUUAAGUCAGAUGUGAAAGCCCCGGGCUUAACCUGGGAACUGCAUCUGAUACUGGAUAACUAGAGUAGGUGAGAGGGGAGUAGAAUUCCAGGUGUAGCGGUGAAAUGCGUAGAGAUCUGGAGGAAUACCGAUGGCGAAGGCAGCUCCCUGGCAUCAUACUGACACUGAGGUGCGAAAGCGUGGGUAGCAAACAGGAUUAGAUACCCUGGUAGUCCACGCCGUACGAUGUCUACCAGUCGUUGGGUCUUUUAAAGACUUAGUGACGCAGUUAACGCAAUAAGUAGACCGCCUGGGGAGUACGGCCGCAAGGUUA
rnacentral:rRNA from 1 species